AACGAACGCUGGCGGCAUGCCUAACACAUGCAAGUCGAACGAGACCUUCGGGUCUAGUGGCGCACGGGUGCGUAACGCGUGGGAACCUGCCCUUAGGUUCGGAAUAACUCCCCGAAAGGGGUGCUAAUACCGGAUAAUGUCUUCGGACCAAAGAUUUAUCGCCUUUGGAUGGGCCCGCGUUGGAUUAGCUAGUUGGUAGGGUAAAAGCCUACCAAGGCGACGAUCCAUAGCUGGUCUGAGAGGAUGAUCAGCCACACUGGGACUGAGACACGGCCCAGACUCCGACGGGAGGGAGCAGUGGGGAAUAUUGGACAAUGGGCGAAAGCCUGAUCCAGCAAUGCCGCGUGAGUGAUGAAGGCCUUAGGGUUGUAAAGCUCUGUUACCCGGGAUGAUAAUGACAUUACCGGGAGAAUAAGCUCCGGCUAACUCCGUG
rnacentral:rRNA from 1 species